rnacentral:rRNA from 1 species
AUGGCUCAGGAUGAACGCUAGCGGCAGGCUUAACACAUGCAAGUCGAGGGGCAACGCGAGUAGCAAUACUUGGCGGCGACCGGCGCAAGGGUGCGUAACGCGUGAGCAACAUGCCCGUAUCAGGGGGAUAAUCCAGGGAAACUUGGUCUAAUACCCCAUAGUAAUUUUGUAAGGCAUCUUAUAAGAUUUAAAGCUUUGGUGGAUACGGAUUGGCUCGCGUGACAUUAGCUGGAUGGUAAGGUAACGGCUUACCAUGGCUAUGAUGUCUAGGGGUUCUGAGAGGAAGGUCCCCCCACACUGGAACUGAGACACGGUCCAGACUCCUACGGGAGGCAGCAGUGAGGAAUAUUGGACAAUGGAUGGAAAUCUGAUCCAGCCAUGCCGCGUGAAGGAAAAGAAGGUCCUAUGGAUUGUAAACUUCUUUUGUAUGGGAGCAAUAAGGCCUACGAGUAGGUUGAUGAGAGUACCAUACGAAUAAGCACCGGCUAACUCCGUGCCAGCCGCAGC